UGUGUAACCGAACUCCGCUUCGAAUCGUUUUCGUUAGCGACGGUUUACCACCACUGUUGCCAUCAUGGAUAUACAUUAUUUAAACGAUUUUAUGUUAUCCGGCCUCCCACCUAGAGGCGCGUCCGUCCACUGCAGCAUCAACUCAAAGACAGGGACGUUGUCGAAGCGACGUUCGCGUGGAAUUUUUUUUUUUUCGAUAUUUAUAUUUUUAACAAAGAUCCGGUAUGCGAAACAUCUCAAUGUAAUAACAACGCUUAUAGAUUUCCCCGAGAACAAAGACUCAACGCGCAACAAUAUUUACCGAUUCGUAGAAUAAUUUUAUCGCGAAAUCAUCAUUGAACAAAAUAAAAAAAACAAAAAUAAAUGUUAAAAAACUUUGCCCCUAUAGGAUUAUUCGAAUUUAAAUACCAAAGAAAAAAAAAGAAAAAAAAUUGUAACGUACAGACUUGCCCGAGUAUUGGUAUGUACCCGUGUAUUAUAUUGCAUAUUAACACGCGUGACACAGUUUGUGCGGCGUGUAUGGCGUUUUUUAUGUGACGUCGUUGUUUGAUGCAGUUUAAUUAACUUUAUUAUAUAACAAUUAUAAUUAGACACCGCGGUAAGUAGAAAAAAAAAAAAGUAGUAUUAUAAAAUUAAUAAAAGUCAACAUGUUAUAUACAAAAACUCCGCUAUACGCGCGCGGUUAAUAUACGGCGUGUUAUAUGUAUACGCGUAUGAAUAAUUAACGAAUUCGAAUUAAACGAAUAAAUAUAAACUCUCGUCCUGUAGGCUUUCGAAAAAAACGAAAACAAUCCAAUUUGUUGACCGUUUUUUUUUUAUAUCCGUAAUACCGUAUAGAACUCGUACGCACUCACGAAAUUAGCAUCGCACUCGUACCGUGUCACCGUUUACCGGCGCGAAACAUUACCCAUGUACUAGUAUAGGCGUAUAGAUAAAACAAAAAGACAAUAUUUACGUCCGUCCGUCAAACCGAUGAUGUGUUAUUUUUUCGAACGGAAAUUGGUUGUUUUUUUUUUCUAUUGUCGGACUGUCUAUAUUAUAAUACCUGUAUACACCUAAUAAUAUUAUAGACAGACAGACGGGCCGCGUCCACGUGCAGACGAUGUACUACGUAUAGUUUGACGGUAUAAUAUAAUAAAAGCUUAUUUUACCGACCUAAUAAAGCGGGAAAAAAAACCAUUUUUUUUUUUUUUCAAAUACCGGAACAAAGAAAAUAACACACAUACACACACACACACACACUGUAUCUCCUCCUCUUGUCUCAACCGCUGCAGUGCGGCCGUUAUAUAGGACGAGGCGGUGCAGGAUCCCGUGCGUAUGCAAAUUUGUUGACAUUAUUGUUUCUCUUUAUUUCUUUUUUCCCCCGUCUCUUUCGUGCAUCCCACUAUAAUAUAAUAAUAAUAAUAAUUAUAAUAUACCAGGUGAAUCAAUGUGAUGGUACACAUUGUGUGUGUGUGUGUGUACAAACACCGCGCCGCUUCGAAUUGUGACAAAAAAAAAACAUACAAGUUACACAUACGCGCGCGCACGAACUGCGAUAUCGAUCUGGCAUUACGGGUUUUUUUUUUUUAUUUUUAAUAUUAUAAUACGCCUGUUGUUGUUUUAUCAGAUGACGGUAAUUAAACACGGAAUAUAAUAUAGGUUCAACACAAAACGGGGAGGGAGGGAGGGGCGAGAGGGAAAUUGUCGCCCCCGUCAACACAAAUAUUAAUAUUGCAGCUCGCGUAUACCUGUACCUGCAGUAUAUAUACGUAUAUUAAAAUUAUAUGGUGCGUGUGUGCUGUGCGAAAAAAAAAAACCUAUCCGGCUUGUUUGUCGUACGCUGGACAUGUGUGUGUGUGUGUGUGAUAACGUGCAUGUUUGAAUUGAUGAAAUAAUCGGGGAAAACAAAAAAAAUAAAAAACAAAUAUAUACAUGUAUUGUAUGUAACAAAAAGUGCCUACUUUUUAUUCACCUGCAGCUCUAACUCCCUCGCGCUAACUAAUUGAUAAACCUGUAUAAUAUGAUAUUUUAAUAUGUAUAAAGAGGUGUUGACGUAUACUUACAGGAAUUAUGAUUACAAUAUUGUCGUAUUAUUAUAAUACACUUAUACCUCGUAAUACCCGUUCGUGUCACCGCGUUCUAUCGUAGGUACCUACACCCAUACCCAUAUACUAUAUAAUAUUAUUUCGAACGCAACAUUUUUGUACACGGUAUGGCGUACGUAUAUUUUUUAUGAUAUUUUACGGGCUUUCCGUUUCCGUAUAGUAAUUA